GACGUAGGAGGCGAGCGUUGUCCGGAUUUACUGGCGUAAAGCGCGCGCAGGCGGUCGCGCAGGUCAUCUGUGAAAGCCCCCGGCUCAACCGGGCGGAUGCGGGUGAAACCGCGCGACUGGAGGGUGGGAGAGGUCGGCGGAAUUCCCGGUGUAGUGGUGAAAUGCGUAGAUAUCGGGAGGAACACCCGUAGCGAAGGCGGCCGACUGGACCACACCUGACGCUGAGGCGCGAAGGCCAGGGGAGCGAACGGG
rnacentral:rRNA from 1 species